GGGAAGGCCACGCUCAUGUGCCUGGCCAACAAGGGCUUCCCCCUCAGACUGGAGUCUGGCCUGGAAGGUGGACGGCAGCAGCAGCAGCAGCAGCUGGGAGGAGAGCAGGAGCCCGGGGUGCUGGGGAGGGACGGCAAGUACAGCUGGAGCAGCACCCUGAGACUCCCUAAAGACCAGUGGGAGAAGGUGGGCUCUGUGACCUGUGAGGCCACCCAGGGCUCCCAGACUCCGCUCUCAGAGACACUGAGGAGAGACCAGUGUUCCCAGUCCUGACCUGACUCAUUGGGACUCUGCUACUGGUUUCACUCUGAUACUGAUCUCAGUCUGCUCUCUGCAACUCUUUACCUUUCUAUCUCAUUCUUUCCAUCACUGUCUAAUUACAUGUUUCAUUGAUAAAGAUUUAUUGCUUUUUAAAUAUUUUAUUAUUUCAACACAAUAAAGAACCUUUCAUCAAA